rnacentral:rRNA from 1 species
GAGUUUGAUCCUGGCUCAGAGCGAACGCUGGCGGCACGCUUUACACAUGCAAGUCGAGCGAGAAAGCGGCUUCGGUCGCAAGUAUAGCGGCGGACGGGUGCGUAUAACGUGGAUAACCUGCCUUAAGGACCGGGACAACCUUGGGAAACCAAGGCUAAUACCGGAUAUGACCACGAUGUCUGAGGGCAACGGGGUAAAAGAUGACCGUUUACGGUUGUCGCCUUUUGAGGGGUCCACGUCCUAUCAGGUAGUUGGUGGGGUAAAGGCCUACCAAGCCAAAGACGGGUAGCCGGCCUUAGCGGGUGAUCGGCCACACGGGGACUGAGACACGGCCCGACUCCUACGGGAGGCAGCAGUGGGGAAUAUUGGGCAAUGGGCGAAAGCCUGACCCAGCGAUGCCGCGUGAGGGAACGAAGGCCUUCGGGUUGUAAACCUAUGUCAAGAGGGACGAAGGGUCUGCAAAUUAACCUUGCGGGCUUGACUGUACCUCCAGAGGAAGGCCCCGGUAAACUCCGUGCCAGCAGCCGCGGGUAAUCACGGAGGGGGGCAAAGCGUUGCCUCGGAAAUUACUGGGCGUAAAGAGGUCCGAAGGUGGUCCUUGCCAAGUUGGACUGUGAAAGCCCGG